rnacentral:rRNA from 1 species
UACAGAGGGUGCGAGCGUUUGUUCGGAAUUAUUGGGCGUAAAGGGCGCGUAGGCGGUGCGGUAAGUCACCUGUGAAAUCUCCUGGCUCAACUGGGAGCUUGCAGGCGAAACUGCCGUGCUGGAGUGUGGGAGAGGUGCGUGGAAUUCCUGGUGUAGCGGUGAAAUGCGCAGAUAUCAGGAGGAACACCGGUGGCGAAGGCGGGUCUCUGGGCCGAUACUGACGCUGAGGAGCGAAAGCGUGGGGGAGCGAACAGG